rnacentral:miRNA from 1 species
AUUGGCAUCACCCAGAAUCUUGUUAAAAUGCAGUCUCUGAUUUAGCAGAUUUGGUGGGGCCUGGGAGUCUGCAUUUCUAGUGAACUCUCCUGGUGAUGCUGCU